GAGAACGUGGUGUAAUGGCAGCACUCCUGAUCUGGGAUCAGGAAGAGAGGUUCGAAUCCUACGUUUUCG
rnacentral:tRNA from 1 species